GACGAACGCUGGCGGCGUGCUUAACACAUGCAAGUCGAACGGAAAGGCCCUGCUUUUGUGUGGUUCUCGAUUGGCGAACGCGUGAGUAACACGUGUGUAACCUGCCCUUGACUUUGGGAUAACUUCAGGAAACUCGGUCUAAUACCCGAUAUGAUCUCCUGCUGCAUGGGGUUCAUUGGAAAGUGUCGGCGGUUGUGGAUCGACUCGCGGCUUAUCAGCUGCUUUGUGAGGUAGUUGCUUACCAAGGCUUUGACGGGUAGCCUGCCUGGGAGGGUUGCCAGGCACAUUGGGCCUGAGAUACGGAGCAGACUCCUACGGGCGGCAGCAGUGGAGAACAUUGCACAGUGGGCGGAAGCCUGAUGCAGAAACGCCGCGUUCGGGAUGACGGCCUACGGGUUGUAAACAGAUUUCGAAUGUGCCGAAGCGUGAGUGACGGUAAUGGGUAAAGAAGCAACGGCUAACUACGUG
rnacentral:rRNA from 1 species